UUGAGUGGGGUUCAUUUUCUGUUAGGAUCGUGGGCUCUAUUGGUCACAGCUGACCUUGAUCAUCUCUGAAAGUGUAUCUUAUUACACAAUAUUGCAGUCUUAUAAUAACACCAGGAAGGUUGUUCUGUUUCACAUGAACAUGCUUCAUGAUGGGGUUAGGAAUGUACAACCUGUGAAAAGUGAGGGAGUCUUGAUUAUUAAUCAUAAUAUUAUUAAUAGCCACCUUUUCUUGAUCAUUAGGCACUAUUUGUACAUUAUUUCUCCUUCUCACAUCGACCCAGAAGGUAGGUGUAAGGAAACUGCAUGGCUUCUUGAAUGAAGCCAAACUGCUCUGCAAGAUUGGUGGAAAAGGAGACUCACCAUCUGCUAACAGGCUCCUGGAUCUCAUAGCUGCUCUGUCUUAGCCCUUAAUAUGUUUCUUUUCCCCAUGGAUAGUGGUUCUGAAACCUGAGCUGUCAGAAGAAUCCUUGGCAGAUUCCUAGAUGCCAGCCUCAGACUCAGAAGGUCUGGAGUUGGGGCUGAAAUCUGCGUGGCUAAUGAGCGCUGCAGGUGACUCUGAGGCUGCUGGUCAGUGUCCAGCACUUGGAGAAACUCUACUGAGGGCACCUGCCCCUAAUGUACUGUUGCCACCACUGGGCUGGGGUCAAGAGGCUUUAGUUCCCACACCUGGGCCUCAAAUGGGACCUCUGAGCUUUCCACUAGUUUCCAUUCCAUGAAGGAGUACAAAUUGGAGUAUGUAAAGACAAAAGACAUAUUGUCCAUCAGCUUCCUAUGAUCGAAGAAAAGCUUCCAUUUGUAAUAAACCAACUUCUCUCAUCCAAUUAUCAACAUAGACCAAAAAAAAAAA